UACGGAGGGGGCUAGCGUUGUUCGGAAUUACUGGGCGUAAAGCGCACGUAGGCGGACUGUUAAGUCAGGGGUGAAAUCCCGGAGCUCAACUCCGGAACUGCCUUUGAUACUGGGUGUCUUGAGUGUGGAAGAGGUGAGUGGAAUUCCGAGUGUAGAGGUGAAAUUCGUAGAUAUUCGGAGGAACACCAGUGGCGAAGGCGGCUCACUGGUCCAUUACUGACGCUGAGGUGCGAAAGCGUGGGGAGCAAACAGG
rnacentral:rRNA from 1 species